UACGGAGGGUGCGAGCGUUGUCCGGAAUUAUUGGGCGUAAAGAGCUCGUAGGCGGUGUGUCGCGUCGGCCGUGAAAACCUGCAGCUUAACUGUGGGCUUGCGGUCGAUACGGGCAUCACUGGAGUUCGGCAGGGGAGACUGGAAUUCCUGGUGUAGCGGUGAAAUGCGCAGAUAUCAGGAGGAACACCGGUGGCGAAAGCGGCUCACUGGACCACAACUGACGCUGAGGCGCGAAAGCGUGGGGAGCAAACAGG
rnacentral:rRNA from 1 species